ACGAACGCUGGCGGCGUGCUUAACCCAUGCAAGUCGCACGGAAAGGCCCUGCUUGCAGGGUACUCGAGUGGCGAACGGGUGAGUAACACGUGGGUGAUCUGCCCUGCACUUCGGGAUAAGCCUGGGAAACUGGGUCUAAUACCGGAUAGGAGCCAUUUUUAGUGUGAUGGUUGGAAAGUUUUUUUCGGUGUAGGAUGAGCUCGCGGCCUAUCAGCUUGUUGGUGGGGUAAUGGCCUACCAAGGCGGCGACGGGUAGCCGGCCUGAGAGGGUGGACGGCCACAUUGGGACUGAGAUACGGCCCAGACUCCUACGGGAGGCAGCAGUGGGGAAUAUUGCACAAUGGGCGCAAGCCUGAUGCAGCGACGCCGCGUGGGGGAUGACGGCCUUCGGGUUGUAAACUCCUUUCGCUAGGGACGAAGCUUUUUGUGACGGUACCUAGAUAAGAAGCACCGGCUAACUACGUG
rnacentral:rRNA from 1 species